GGGUGAUUAGCUCAGUUGGUUUAGAGCGCUGCCUCGACAAGGCAGAGGUCAACAGUUCGAGCCUGUUAUCACCCA
rnacentral:tRNA from 1 species